AAAUGUUCAUAAGAUUCCACCUACGGAAAUAUAGACGGACCAUGUCAUGCCACACUGGCCAGAUCUUACUUCUCCAGUUGCAAAGAUAUGGAUUUGUUGCAAUGAAAGACCUGAACCAACUGCCUAUAAGCCAGGGGGUUUGAAUAGUGGAAGAAAAUUGAAGAUCCCAUCCACGUCUAAGGGCACUCUCAGAGCACGGCUGAGAAGCUCUGGCGUAGUUGUCUUCCCUUUCCAGGUGUUAAACCACGGUCCUCCACCAACUUCUACUGCUGCCAUGUCACUUGUAACAUCCAAAAUUAUCUUGCCCUUAGAGCCAUCAUAUCUUCGUUCCCAUAAUUUCAAUUUCAGAACACCAUAACAAGUAUCUUUGCAAGCUGGAGCAAGGCCAGCCUCUGUUGUUGGAGCACGAAGUGUUGUUCCUGGAUCCUUUGUUGUUGCCUCCAAUUCAACCAAAUGUGUCUCAUUCUCUGCAGUUACGAACCAGUAACCCCAUGGGCUGAUUUCCCAAGUUACAACACCUUUCCAUGGUACAAAUUCAUAGAAAAUUCCAUCAUAAUGCACUCCAAUCAACGCAGCAUUUUCAAAGGUCUCAGUUAGUCCAGGCAAUUGCCUCAGCCCACCACCCACAGUCAAAGCAACUUCUCCGCUUGCACCUUCAAAGACAUUACAC
rnacentral:misc_RNA from 1 species